GCUGGGAGUGAUGGCACACUCCUGUAAUCCCAGCAGCUCGGGAGGCUGAGGCAGGAGGAUCACGAGUUCAAAGCCAGCCUUCAAAAUCAAGGCGCUAAGCAACUCCGUGAGACCCUGUCUCUA
rnacentral:sRNA from 1 species